GUAAUGCGAUAAGUAAUGUGAAUUGCAGAAUUCAGUGAACCAUCGAAUCUUUGAACGCACCUUGCGCUCCUUGGUAUUCCUUGGAGCAUGCCUGUUUGAGUAUCAUGAAAUCUUCAAAGUAAAUCUUUUGUUAACUCAAUUGGUUUCUACUUUGGUAUUGGAGGUCUUUGCAGCUUCACACCUGCUCCUCUUUGUUCAUUAGCUGGAUCUCAGUGUUAUGCUUGGUUCCACUCGGCGUGAUAAGUUAUCUAUCGCUGAGGACACUGUAAAAGGUGGCCAAGGUAAAUGCAGAUGAACCGCUUCUAAUAGUCCAUUGACUUGGACAAUACUUUUAUGAUCUGAUCUCAAAUCAGGUAGGACUACCCGCUGAACUUAAGC
rnacentral:misc_RNA from 1 species